UUUGUGCCGACACGUGUUUGUGGUAGGUGAGUUCCGUCGGACCACGUUAGGGGCACAGCAGACCGCAGGCGGAGGAACCGAAGAGGAGUAUUUGUGCAGCCUGGAGGUUUCGAAUGCCCAAAACAUGGUUUCAAGCGCCCGAAAACGCCCGUUUCUCCUGGGACAGCAGUUGAAGCUUGAGGACUGCAGUAUCAGCAGAAUUCCAGCAGCGACCUUUGGCGUUUUGGCUCGUGUGCAACGUAGGAAAGUCAGAUUGCUGCGAAAUUUGAUUUGGUGGUUAACUGACUGCUUGGAGGUUUCGUGGAACCUAUUUUGACAGACAUUGAUUGAGGGAGCUGGAAUUGCAACCUUAGAUUGAUACUCCAUCAUAGUCACUGGUUUUGGAACCCUACUUCACCAGAUUUGAAGCUUGGAAG